CCUAAAGGAAUAUAUGACAAAAUGGAAAACUAAAGUAAACAGUGUGCAGGUCAGGAGCUCUGAUACAAGUCAAGGCAUCGUAUGAUGCAGGCUGGUCCAACAUGAUGAAUACAUUUAAAAGAUUUUGGCCAAUACUCACUUCGGAUCCCCAUAUUGAGAAGGUUAUUACACCAUUCCCCUCAGUGACAGCACGCAGGGGCAGAAAUUUGAAAAGCAUGCUAGUCCCUAGCUAUUUGGCCUCCUUAACCCCUUAAGGACACAUGACAUGUGUGACAUGUCAUGAUUCCCUUUUAUUCCAGAAGUUUGGUCUUUAAGGGGUUAAAUAAGCACCUCAAACAAUAUCAACCCAGGGGUACAUACAAGUGUGGCCACUGUAGUGAAUAGUCUUUUACAGAUAGCUUGUGGUUGAGUGACAGGCAACAGAGGGUUGUAAUCAAUGGAGUAUACUCGAAACAAGGUCUUAUUACCAGCAGGGUACCUCAGGGAUCUGUACUUGGACCCAUUCUCUUUAAUAUUUUUAUUAGUGAUAUUGCAGGUCUUGAUGGUAAGGUAGGUUGAUGUUCCAGGAGGGAUAAGCCAAAUGGCAAAUGAUUUAGGUAAACUAGAAAAAUGGUCAGAGUUGUGGCAACUGACAUUUAAUGUGGAUAAGUGCAAGAUAAUGCAUCUUAGACGUAAAAACCCAAGAACAGAGUAUAUAAUAUUUGGUAGAGUCCUAACCUCAACAUCUGAGGAAAGGAAUUUAGGGGUAAUAAUUUCAGAUGACCUAAAAGUAGGCAGACAGUGUAAUAGAGCAGCAGCCGAAUGCUUGGUUGUAUAGGGAGAGGUAUUAGCAGUAGAAAGAGGGAAGUGCUCAUGCCAUUGUACAGAACACUGGUGAGACCUCACUUGGAGUAUUGUACACAGUACUGGAAACCGUAUAUCCAGAAGGAUAUUGAUACUUUGGAGAAAGUUCAGAGAAGGGCUACUAAACUAGCUCAUGGAUUACAGGAUAAAACUUACAAGGAAAGGUUAAAGGAACUUAACAUGUAUAGCUUGGAGGAAAGGCAAGACAGAGGGGAUAUGACAGAAACAUUUAAAUACAUAAAGGGAAUCAACACAGUAAAGGAGGAGACUAUUUAAAAGAAGAAAAACUACCACAACAAGAGGACAUAGUCUUAAAUUAGAGGGGCAAAGGUUUAAAAAUAAUAUCAGGAAGUAUUACUUUACUGAGAGAGUAGUGGAUGCAUGGGAUAACCAUCCAGCUAAAGUAGAGAUUAACACAGUAAAGAAGUUUAAGUAUGCGUGAGAUAGGCAUAAGACUAUCCAAGACUUAAGAUAAGGCCAGGGACUAAUGAAAGUAUUUAGAAAAUUGGGCAAACUAGAUGGCCGAAUGGUUCUUAUCUGCCGUCACAUUCUAUGUUUCUAUGAAAAGAAUAUCAUCCCCACUGUAAAGCAUGGUGGUGGCUCACUAAUUUUUUGGGACUGUGUGAGCUCUAAAGGCACGGGGAAUCUUGUGAAAAUUGAUGGCAAGAUGAAUGCAGCAUCUUAUCAGAAAAUACUGGCAGACAAUUUGCAUUCUUUUGCACGAAGGCUGCGCAUGGGACACUUGAAUUUUCCAGCAUGACAAUGACCCUAAGCGCAAAGCCAAGUUGACCCUCCAGUGUUUAAAGCAGAAAAAGGUGAAGGUUCUGGGGUGGCCAUCACAGUCUCCUAAUAUUAUCAAACCACUCUGGGAAGAUCUCAAACAUGCGGUUCAUGCAAGAAGACCAAAGACUUUGCAUGACCUGGAGGCAUUUUGACAAGACGAAUUUGCAGCUCUACCACCUUCAAGAAUUAGGGGUCUCAUAGACAGCUAUUACAAAAGACUGCACGCUGUCAUUGAUGCUAAAGGGGGCAAUACACAGUAUUAAGAACUAAGGGCAUGCAGAUUUUUGAACUGGGGUCAUUUAAUUUUUUUUCUUUGUUGUCAUGUUUUGUUUGUUUGUGCCAUUCUGUUAUAACCUACAGUUGAAU